CUGGGAUUACAGGUGUAAGCCACUACGGCUGGCCUAUUAUUGCUGUAUUCUAACUUAUUCAUCUCCUAUGUGUCAGAGAUGGCUUUGGAUUCCCCGUUCUGUGUGCUGCUGUCUGGCUCCUGAACCCAGCUGUAGAGGUGUGUCAAUCCCAACUGGUGAAGUACUGAGAGGAAGCUACACAAAAGGCAGCAAAGUAUUAGUGAGUGGUGUCA
rnacentral:lncRNA from 1 species